rnacentral:lncRNA from 1 species
UUUCUUCGGUCCCAUUAACUCUGCUGUGGGAGCUCUCUUGGUCAGCUUCACUGUUUACAUCAUCCCGGCUUUAGCACAUAUGCUCACAUACAGAUCAGCCUCAGCUCGACAGGUAAAUGAUCUUGUCUUCGUACAUCUUAUCUUUUCGGUUUUUGUUUCCUGUCGAAGAUACGAACAAGUUAUGUUGGCACUGCCUAAUGCUGACAUAAAAUUGCUAUUCAAGUAUAUUAUUGGCCUUAGUUUCUCGGCCAUAAUAAUCAAAACCAAUUUGACAGAUAUGUAUACUGAUAGAAACAUCUUGCAUGUUAGGCAGCAAGGUAGGUACACUUUGGGCCACACUGGUUGUUUGGCAUGUAUAUCAUUGAGGUCCUAAUUACUAGCUAGUUAGAGUUAAAAGACAAGUCAGUACAUUGAAUUAGUCGAGAUACAUGUAAGCUAUCGAAAUAUUACUUGUCUGUACUAGGCAAACCCAUUUGUUUUUCGAGAUUUUUGUAUUUAUUUGGGAAAGUGAGAUCUAUAGAGAAGUCAUAAAAAUAAAAGCUAAGUUCUCCUGCAUAUCCCAUCGGUCAUGUUAAGUAAUGUUAACAUCACACCGAUUAAGUAUCAAAAUCUGUAAUGUUGUAUCAUAUUUGUUAAAUCACUUACCCGAUUUUGAUUUAGAAUUUUCGGAGUUUAGCCAUGUAUCAAAUGAAUUUAGAAAACAAAAAAAAGAGGGUUGGUGGAAUUUCCUUAUCAUUCAGUUAUAUGCUAUAGCCAUGGUUCUACACCAUACACCUUGGAAAUAGCUGGCAAGCUGACCCACUAGUCUUGUUCUUCACUCUAACUCUAGCUUUUUUAAAAAAAAAAAUUACACAAAGAGAUUAAAAAGAAAAGCAUUAUUAACUGUAAUCCUUAGAAAUUUUUUACUAUACUUUUUCUUUUUCGGCAAGUAUCAAAAUGUAAAUUUCACUUUUCAAGAGGGAUAAACUUAUAAUAUAGAUAUUAGGUCAUUCCCAUCAAUUUAAACUAUCUUACUCCCUUAAACUUUUGUCUAACCAGAAUGCGGCAGAGAAACCUCCAUUCUUCCUCCCAAGCUGGACAGCGGUGUAUGCGCUGAACGCAUUUGUGGUGGUCUGGGUGUUCGUGGUUGGGUUCGGGUUGGGAGGAUGGGCCAG